rnacentral:rRNA from 1 species
GACGAACCGCCCGAACGUUGUUCGGAUUCAUUGGGCGUAAAGGGUGCGUAGGCGGUCGUGCAAGUCGGAUGUGAAAUCUCAGGGCUCAACCCUGAAACUGCAUUCGAUACUGCGCGGCUAGAGUGCUGGAGGGGAGACUGGAAUUUACGGUGUAGCAGUGAAAUGCGUAGAUAUCGUAAGGAAGACCAGUGGCGAAGGCGAGUCUCUGGACAGCAACUGACGCUGAGGCACGAAGGCCAGGGGAGCAAACGGG